rnacentral:piRNA from 1 species
UUGAUCUGAUAGAAUGUCAUC